rnacentral:tRNA from 1 species
GGAGAGGUGCGAGAGCUGGUUGAAUCGGCACGACUGGAAAUCGUGUAAGCAUCCAAAAGGUGCUUCCAGGGUUCGAAUCCCUGCCUCUCCGCCA